rnacentral:lncRNA from 1 species
AAGUAAUUAAUUAAUUUAUUAUUUAUCAUUAAUUAAGUCAUUAAAAAUUAAUAUAUUAAUCAGCUUAUUCAAUAACCAAUAUUUAUAACCAUUAAUAUUUUGACUAAUCUAUUUAAUUUUUAACUAAUUAUCUAAAUAAAAUAAUUUACUAACUAAUUAAAAAGUUAAGUUAUUUAUAUAAUUAACUAAUAUUUAUAUUUAUUAAAUUAUUAAUUUAUUAUAAUAUUCAUAGCUAAUAAAUUUAUUAAUUUAUUGAAUUAUUUUUAAUUAAUAUUCUGAUGUUAAUUAAUUAGAUAAACUAAUUUUAAUUUAAAUUUAUAACUCGUAUUCCUCAUGUUCCAAUCUAACUAUCCAAACGACCUUUAUCUUAUUCACAGGGACAAAUUCAAUUUUCAUUCAAACGCAAAAUUGGUCUAGUUCCUCUUAAUACCUCAACUUGUAUAUAUAUCUGAAAUAAGCUAUUCUUACUUAUAUCCGAACCAAAUGCAGCCUAAAUUCUGAAACAAGCAGUUCUUAUUUAUAUCCGAACUAAAUGCAGCCUAAAUUCUGAAAUAAGCAGUUCUUAUUUAUAUCCUAACCAAAUACAGCCUAAAUUUUCC